CCUACGGGAGGCAGCAGUGGGGAAUAUUGGGCAAUGGCCGCAAGCCUGACCCAGCAAAGCCGCGUGAAGGAAGAAGUAUUUCGGUAUGUAAACUUCUAUCAGCAGGGAAGAAAAUGACGGUACCUGACUAAGAAGCCGCGGCUAACUACGUGCCAGCAGCCGCGGGAAAACGUAGGGGGCAAGCGUUAUCCGGAUUUACUGGGUGUAAAGGGAGCGUAGGCGGUUUAGCAAGUCAGAAGUGAAAGCCCGGGGCUCAACUCCGGGACUGCUGUUGAAACUGUUGAACUAGAGUGCAGGAGAGGUAAGUGGAAUUCCUAGUGUAGCGGUGAAAUGCGUAGAUAUUAGGAGGAACACCAGUGGCGAAGGCGGCUUACUGGAGUGUAAAUGACGCUGAGGCUCGAAAGCGUGGGGAGCAAACAGGAUUAGAUACCCCAGUAGUC
rnacentral:rRNA from 1 species